rnacentral:rRNA from 1 species
UACGGAGGAUGCGAGCGUUAUCCGGAUUUAUUGGGUUUAAAGGGUGCGUAGGCUGUGCGUUAAGUCAGGGGUGAAAUGCCGUUGCUCAACAUCGGAGCUGCCCUUGAUACUGGCGUGCUGGAGUACGGAUGCCGUUGGAGGAAUGAGUAGUGUAGCGGUGAAAUGCAUAGAUAUUACUCAGAACACCGAUUGCGAAGGCAUCUGACGAAUCCGUCACUGACGCUGAGGCACGAAAGCGUGGGGAUAGAAC